GUGGUCUGGGGAAAGGCUCCUGUGUUGCUGAACCCGCCCCGUUGCGGGUGCAGCCUCGUACCUGGCAGCCCUACCCUGACCUAAAGCAAAUUCCCGGGAGGAGUGCUUCCCGGGUUUUGAAUUUGCAGUAACAGGUGUGAACAUUCUAGAAGCAGUUUGAUGAUCAUGUAUGAUACUGCAAACAAGA
rfam:Myotis davidii contig170195, whole genome shotgun sequence.